GCCCGUGUACAUAGCGUGUAUAAGCUACACAAUGAUUGGCCGUAUCCGUUUAAUCAGCCGUUUACCUCGUUUAAUAACCGUUUAACCCGUUUAAAUAGCCAUUUAGUUCGAAUAAAUAGCUAAAUAAUAGGUGAACAACUGUUUAGCGUUUACCAUUUAGGCUAACACUGAUCAACACCAAGCUAAACAAACUCACAUCCUCCGGUCCCACUCCUAGGGUAAGCACCCGUCCCACCCUCUCUCUCUCUCCCUCCCGUCUGCUCUGCUCUUAGAUCUGGCGGUGGGGCGAGCAAGGUACAAUGGCAGGGGUGUAGAUCCAAUCCACCACAUUCCGCUCUCCUUGCAGAUCCCGCCCGCUGUCCUCGGUGGGUUAUUUCUCUGAUGGGGUUAGGAGUGGCGCAGGCAUGGAUUAGGGCUGGCUGGUGCCAUCCCCCGACCACGUCCUGGCUCCCUGGUGGCAGCGGCAAGGCCAAUCCCUAGCCAGGUCGAGCACCUGCCUUGUGAUUUGGUGAUGGGCCGUGCCACCACCUUUCUGCUCCUCCACAAUGGCGCAGCACCGCCACGGCCGUGGCUGAGCACUGAUUAACGAGUAGCCACAGCGAAUCAUAAGUGGGACCAGAUCAGACAGAGGGAGGGCGAACAGUUGCAGCUGGACAUCAAACCAAAUUUGAGACAGACAGGGUCGAGGAUUGAAACUUAUCACAAUCAAGUAUUCAUUGCUUUGGUGGCUACUAUCAGCGUCAAGUGUUCACUGGUUUGGAACCAGAUGUAUAUAAUAUGUAGAUGUAGCAAUGCACUACAGGAAAACAGCAAAC